GCCCGGAUGGUGGAAUGGUAGACACGCGGGACUUAAAAUCCCGUUCCCUAUGGGAGUGCGGGUUCGAUCCCCGCUCCGGGCACCA
rnacentral:tRNA from 1 species